CCAGACUCCUACGGGAGGCAGCAGUAGGGAAUUUUCGGCAAUGGGGGGAACCCUGACCGAGCAACGCCGCGUGAACGAAGAAGUUAUUCGUAAUGUAAAGUUCUUUUAUCAGGGAAGAAAGAGGAAUUUGACGGUACCUGAGGAAUAAGCUCCGGCUAACUGCGUGCCAGCAGCCGCGGUAAUACAUAGGGGGCAAGCGUUAUCCGGAAUUAUUGGGUGUAAAGGGUGCGUAGACGGAGAAACAAGUUGGUUGUGAAAUCCCUCGGCUCAACCGAGGAACUGCAACCAAAACUAUUUCCCUUGAGUGUCGGAGAGGAAAGUGGAAUUCCUAGUGUAGCGGUGAAAUGCGUAGAUAUUAGGAGGAACACCAGUGGCGAAGGCGACUUUCUGGACGAUAACUGACGUUGAGGCACGAAAGUGUGGGGAGCAAACAGGAUUAGAUACCCCCGUAU
rnacentral:rRNA from 1 species